AAGGGCAUGAGGCUGCAUGGCCAUGGGCAGACGCAAAUUUCAUAAAGAGGAAACAAAAUGCCAAAAGCAAAAAGCAAAUCAAUUUCAGUGCAGCAGGCAAAGAGAAAAAAAGUAUGGCAGUUCAGAGGUGGAGGUACUGCUGCAGGAAAUCAGCCACAGGAAGAAAAUUCUAUUCAGUAGCCUUAGUGCAGCUUUAAGUUCAGAUUUUGAAAACAUAUAAACUUGCAUCCAAUAUCCUAAACUUGCCAUUAUAAGUGGAGUAAAUGAGAAGAAAUAAGUUCACUUAACUUAAUGGGGCUAUCAUUUUUUUUACAGUGUACAUUUAAUUUAUUUUAA